rnacentral:rRNA from 1 species
AGUUCGGCUGGACCGGUGGACAGGUGCUGCAUGGCUGUCGUCAGCUCGUGUCGUGAGAUGUUGGGUUAAGUCCCGCAACGAGCGCAACCCUCGCCCUUAGUUGCCAUCAUUCAGUGGGCACUCUAAGGGGACUGCCGGUGAUAAGCCGAGAGGAAGGUGGGGAUGACGUCAAGUCCUCAUGGCCCUUACGGGCUGGGCUACACACGUGCUACAAUGGCCGGUACAGAGUGAAGCGAAACCGCGAGGUGAAGCAAAACGCAGAAAGCCGGUCUCAGUACGGAUUGGAGUCUGAAACUCGACUUCAUGAAGUUGGAAUCGCUAGUAAUCGCGCAUCAGCAUGGCGCGGUGAAUACGUUCCCGGGCCUU